rnacentral:rRNA from 1 species
AAUAGAUACCCCGGUAGUCCACGCCCUAAACGAUGUCUACUAGUUGUCGGGUCUUAAUUGACUUGGUAACGCAGCUAACGCGUGAAGUAGACCGCCUGGGGAGUACGGUCGCAAGAUUAAAACUCAAAGGAAUUGACGGGGACCCGCACAAGCGGUGGAUGAUGUGGAUUAAUUCGAUGCAACGCGAAAAACCUUACCUACCCUUGACAUGUCAGGAACCCUCGAGAGAUCGGGGGUGCCCGAAAGGGAGCCUGAACACAGGUGCUGCAUGGCUGUCGUCAGCUCGUGUCGUGAGAUGUUGGGUUAAGUCCCGCAACGAGCGCAACCCUUGUCAUUAGUUGCUACGAAAGGGCACUCUAAUGAGACUGCCGGUGACAAACCGGAGGAAGGUGGGGAUGACGUCAAGUCCUCAUGGCCCUUAUGGGUAGGGCUUCACACGUCAUACAAUGGUGCAUACAGAGGGCCGCCAACCCGCGAGGGGGAGCUAAUCCCAGAAAGUGCAUCGUAGUCCGGAUCGCAGUCUGCAA